AUAUAUAUAUAUAUAUAUUUUGUAGGAGUGCACAUGUUAUUAUUCUUCAAAUAGGUUAAACAUUGAUAUUUAUUUACAUUAAAACAGCUUGUAAUUGAUGGAAAUACUGUUAUGUUAGGAUCAGAAGUGCCAGCAAUACACUCUUUUUAACACACUCCCUCUCAUUGGUUAGAAUUUAUUGAAAAUUACGAAAUUAGGGAAGAAACUCAUUAAAUAGGGAUUGGGGGACGUAAUUCUAUGUUCUAACUGGACAUAGUGGUGAUGAUGGCAGAUAAAUAUGAGCUACUGUAUUGUCUCAGAUAUGGUGUUGUGCCUGCUUAUGGGUAACCUGAAACGCCUCCAGGAUGCCAAACUGGUGUGUCUUUCUAAAGUCACUGUCAAAGGAUUGGAACUUGCCCUUAGAGCUUGCUGUGGUCGUAUUAAAAAGGUUAAACUUAAGAGGUCCCUCAGGUUCUUGCUUUCCUCAGAAAUGCUCGAGGCAAUGAAUGCACGGGGUUGCAAGAUCAGAUGGGAUUAGCCUAUAGCCACGCUAUCAAUCUGUUAUACUUUCUUUUCUUGGAAGCAAUGCUGCUUCAUUAAGAUCUUUUUUGAUUCGAAAAUUUAAAUUUCAGUUGCAUUUUCUUUUC